CGCCGGAAGACCAAGGGUUCCUGUCCAACGUUAAUCGGGGCAGGGUGAGUCGACCCCUAAGGCGAGGCCGAAAGGCGUAGUCGAUGGGAAACGGGUUAAUAUUCCCGUACUUGGUGUUACUGCGAAGGGGGGACGGAGAAGGCUAUGUUGGCCGGGCGACGGUUGUCCCGGUUUAAGCGUGUAGGUGUGUGUUCCAGGUAAAUCCGGUUCACUUUAACACUGAGGCGUGAUGACGAGGCACUACGGUGCUGAAGCAACAAAUGCCCUGCUUCCAGGAAAAGCCUCUAAGCAUCAGGUAACAUCAAAUCGUACCCCAAACCGACACAGGUGGUCAGGUAGAGAAUACCAAGGCGCUUGAGAGAACUCGGGUGAAGGAACUAGGCAAAAUGGUGCCGUAACUUCGGGAGAAGGCACGCUGACAC
rnacentral:rRNA from 2 species